rnacentral:rRNA from 1 species
GUAGGGUGCAAGCGUUAAUCGGAAUUACUGGGCGUAAAGCGUGCGCAGGCGGUUUUGUAAGACAGUGGUGAAAUCCCCGGGCUCAACCUGGGAACUGCCAUUGUGACUGCAAGGCUGGAGUGCGGCAGAGGGGGAUGGAAUUCCGCGUGUAGCAGUGAAAUGCGUAGAUAUGCGGAGGAACACCGAUGGCGAAGGCAAUCCCCUGGGCCUGCACUGACGCUCAUGCACGAAAGCGUGGGGAGCAAACAGGAUUAGAUACCCUGGUAGUCCCACGCCCUAAACGAUGUCAACUGGUUGUUGGGAAUUUAUUUUCUCAGUAACGAAGCUAACGCGUGAAGUUGACCGCCUGGGGAGUACGGCCGCAAGGUUA